UACACUCACUUAGGAUAUUUGCCAAAGCAUUUCACUUCAUUUUUGAAAACUUUGGAUACACUUGGGAAAGCUAGCUAUCAGCAUGGAGCAAAUUAAGCCCUCAAGAUGCCCUGUGGUCGGCUGCACAAAUCAGCACAGAUCUGUACAUAAUGUCCGAGCCUCAGAAGAGACAAGAGUGAAAUGGAUUGAAUUCAUAUUUAAUGGUAAUGUUCCGGAAAGAAUUGGCAAAAGUCUGUUGGUGUGCGCAAGCCAUUUUGAAUUGGACUGUUUUACCAAUCUGGGCCAAUAUAACGCUGGACUGGCAACAAGAUUGACCUUGCAAGCAGGAUCGGUACCAUCUAUUUGUCGCAGUACAGACGAGGGAAUUGUAAGUAUCUUUCAAAAAAAAUAUUUUGACCGUUUAGACAAUAGUGUGGGCGGUUAAAGACGUUGCCAAUGUUAGAGGGCUUGGGGGAUGUUAGAUAGCAUUGUUGCGUUUUGGGGAAAUGUGUAGCCUACUUGGGGAACUGUAUAUAGCUCUUGCAGUUUAUUAUUAUUUAUUAUUAUACGGAUCAAUAAUAUAAUAUAAUAUAUUAUAUUGAUUUAUAUAUUAUGGAUUGAUUUCAUAUAUGAAAGCAAUCUUCCUGCAAGAGUUGGCAAAUAUCUGUGCGCUAACCACUUUGAAUUGUGUUUUGUCAACCUGGGCCAAUAUAACGCUGGACUCGCUGGAAGGUUGAUAUUGAAAGGGGGGUCGGUGCCAUCUAUCCGUCGCAGGACUGAAGACGAGGGAAAUGAAGAACAUCUGGACAUUGUCCUAGGCUACAGCAUGUGGCCUGUCAGACAGAUCCUCCAAAGAUGCAUAUCUGGAGCACCAGAAGAAGGGCAGGACCACUCGGAUUUUUCGUCCCAGAAAGCCCCAAAACCAGCUAACAAAGAUUUUGUACGCCAAAGACCUGUAACGUCUGAGCAAAGUUUACAUUGUAUUGAGAGAAUAAAUGGUGACACACAUCUGUUGAAUCUUCCUUUGUAAACAGUAUGGCUACUGAUGGCACAACCAAUGUUUUUUUUUUAAUUAUUACCCAUGUACUAGCCAGUACAUUUAAUAACUAUGCUUAAAAAGUCUAUAGACACAGUUUUGGUAUGUAACAUGUCAACAGGUACAAGGCCCGGAUGAUUAACCAUGCAUGCAUGUUAGUUGGUUUGGAAGCUGCAGUAGUCUUCUUGUUACCUUGAAUAUUGAAAGUGUAAGUAUCAUGGAAUAUAAAACAGAAGAUGACUGCAUAAUUACAAUGCCAUUCACAAAGAAUUCUACUUGUGGGAUCUUCCUGCAGCAUACAUUCUCAGGCUCUGUAGGCAUUUGCUCACACUUGGCACAAAUACACCUGUAUAGAUAGAAGAGUUUUAAAAAGUGACAACAUUGCAGGUAAAGUGUAUUUGAAUGUUGUGUUACAGUUACAGACAUAAGUCGACAAAUACAACAAUAUAAUGAGAAAACAAGGUUUGAAUGAGGUAAAUACGUUAUGUUCUACACCUGCUUGGUCCAUUAAUGUUUUCAGAUAAUACUUUACUUUACAGCUGGAGCUUAACUUGUGUAUUUUGCUAUGCACCACUUGAGAAAAAUUAUUAAACAGGAUACAUAAAAAUUCAAACAGUCCAGCCAUCAAAAGCAAGCUAAGUCCCACAUGGUAGAUCCUGCAAGCCAUCUGGUUGAAUUAUUGAAAAAUUGUAUUCUGACAGAACACUGAAGAGAAGGGUGUAUUUGUUUGGCUGUUGCUCGUGUAGCAGGCAUAAUGGCGUCCCCAUUACCUGCAUUUAUAUAAACACUUUUCACAAACAGUAACUUCCAUAAACACACUGUAUUUGUUACAUACUCGUACAUGCACACACUAUUUACUAGCAUUGCGAUGCUCUCGACACCGACAACAGACCAUAUUUCCUUAGCCAAAGUAAAAAAUAAAAAAACAAA